GUGCUUAUGGGUGCAGUGUGUGUGUGAGGGGUUGUGUAGUAUAUAUAUGUUUGGAAGUAUAGUGUGUGAGUGAGGAGUGCAGUGUGUGUGUGUGAGGGGUGCAGUGUGUGUGUGAGAAGUGCAGUGUAUGUGUGAGGGUGCUGUGAGUGUGAGUGAGGGUGCUCUGAGUGAGGGUGCUGUGUGUGUAAGGGUGCAGUGUGUGUGUAAG